UACUGGAUAUUAGGUUAUGCCUGGAAUGGUUUACCUUUGAAAUGUAUUUUUCGCCUAAGGAUAGAUCUGCGGCUGAUUAGGUCGUUGGUGGGGUAAUGGCCCACCAAGCCGAUGAUCGGUACGGGUUGUGAGAGCAAGAGCCCGGAGAUGGAACCUGAGACAAGGUUCCAGACCCUACGGGGUGCAGCAGGCGCGAAACCUCCGCAAUGUACGCAAGUGCGACGGGGGGAUCCCAAGUGUUAUUCUUAACAGAAUAACUUUUCAUUAGUGUAAAAAGCUUUUAGAAUAAGAGCUGGGCAAGACCGGUGCCAGCAG
rnacentral:rRNA from 1 species